rnacentral:rRNA from 1 species
UACAGAGGGGGCGAGCGUUGUUCGGAAUUACUGGGCGUAAAGGGCGCGUAGGCGGCCCGCUAAGUCAGACGUGAAAUCCCUCGACUCAACCGGGGAACUGCGUCUGAUACUGGUGGGCUCGAAUCCGGGAGAGGGAUGUGGAAUUCCAGGUGUAGCGGUGAAAUGCGUAGAUAUCUGGAGGAACACCGGUGGCGAAGGCGGCAUCCUGGACCGGUAUUGACGCUGAGGCGCGAAAGCCAGGGGAGCAAACGGG